rnacentral:rRNA from 1 species
AUUGAACGCUGGCGGCACGCCUAACACAUGCAAGUCGAGCGCCAGCAUGCUUAGUAGCAAUACUAAGUGAUGGCGAGCGGCGGACGGGUGAGGAACACGUAGGAACCUGCCCAAGAGAGGGGGAUAACUAAGGGAAACUUUAGCUAAUACCGCAUAAUCUCUGAGGAGAAAAGCUGCCCGUAAGGGUAGCGCUUUUGGAGGGGCCUGCGUCCGAUUAGCUAGUUGGUGAGGUAAAAGCUCACCAAGGCGAUGAUCGGUAACUGGUCUGAGAGGACGACCAGUCACACUGGGACUGAGACACGGCCCAGACUCCUACGGGAGGCAGCAGUGGGGAAUCUUGGACAAUGGGGGCAACCCUGAUCCAGCGAUGCCGCGUGGGUGAAGAAGGCCUUCGGGCUGUAAAGCCCUUUAGGCUGGGAAGAAGUGUGCGGGAUGAAUAAUCCUGUACAUUGACGGUACCAGCAGAAUAAGCACCGGCAAACUCUGUGCCAGCCGCCGCGGUAA